rnacentral:rRNA from 1 species
CGCUGGCGGCGUGCCUAACACAUGCAAGUCGAACGGAACUUUUUUAAAGAUUUCUUCGGAAUGAAUUUGAUUAAGUUUAGUGGCGGACGGGUGAGUAACGCGUGAGUAACCUGCCUCUAAGAGGGGAAUAACAUUCUGAAAAGAAUGCUAAUACCGCAUAACAUAUAUUUAUCGCAUGGUAGAUAUAUCAAAGAUUUAUCGCUUAGAGAUGGACUCGCGUCCGAUUAGUUAGUUGGUGAGGUAACGGCUCACCAAGACCGCGAUCGGUAGCCGGACUGAGAGGUUGAACGGCCACAUUGGGACUGAGACACGGCCCAGACUCCUACGGGAGGCAGCAGUGGGGGAUAUUGCGCAAUGGGGAAACCCUGACGCAGCAACGCCGCGUGAAGGAUGAAGGUCUUCGGAUUGUAAACUUCUUUUAUUAAGGACGAAGAAAGUGACGGUACUUAAUGAAUAAGCUCCGGCUAACUACGUG